rnacentral:rRNA from 1 species
UACGUAGGGGGCUAGCGUUAUCCGGAUUUACUGGGCGUAAAGGGUGCGUAGGUGGUUUCUUAAGUCAGAGGUGAAAGGCUACGGCUCAACCGUAGUAAGCCUUUGAAACUGGGAAACUUGAGUGCAGGAGAGGAGAGUGGAAUUCCUAGUGUAGCGGUGAAAUGCGUAGAUAUUAGGAGGAAUACCAGUUGCGAAGGCGGCUCUCUGGACUGUAACUGACACUGAGGCACGAAAGCGUGGGGAGCAAACAGGAUUAGAUACCCGGGUAGUCCCUGAGCGGGCU